rnacentral:rRNA from 1 species
GUGAGGAAUUUUCCGCAAUGGGCGAAAGCCUGACGGAGCAAUGCCGCGUGAAGGAUGAAGGCCUAUGGGUUGUAAACUUCUUUUCUCAGAAAAGAAUUAUGACGGUAUCUGAGGAAUAAGCAUCGGCUAACUCUGUGCCAGCAGCCGCGGUAAGACAGAGGAUGCAAGCGUUAUCCGGAAUGAUUGGGCGUAAAGCGUCUGUAGGUUGUUUAAAAAGUAUUCUGUCAAAGAUUAGGGCUUAACCCUAGAUAGACAGAAUAAACUUUUAAGCUAGAGUUUGGUAGAGGCAGAGGGAAUUCCCGGUGGAGCGGUGAAAUGCGUAGAUAUCGGGAGGAACACCAAAGGCGAAGGCACUCUGCUGGGCCAAUACUAACACUGAGAGACGAAAGCGAGGGGAGCAAAUGGGAUUAGAAACCCGGGUAGUCC